ensembl:lncRNA LINC01912 long intergenic non-protein coding RNA 1912
AAGGUUCUCAAAGAGAUGGCCCAGCCUAGGUGUAUGAGGUGUGGGGGAGGAAAGCACAGGCAUCCCUGAGAAGCCUGUUGGAGAAUCAGCAUCCUCAGGGGAGAUUCGAGUUUCAAUCGGAGCAAGAAGCAUCCCAGAGGCACUUUAACCAAACCCUGGAGAGAGAAGAAAUAAGUAUAUUACUGUGUCGUCUUUGCACAGCAAGAACUUAGCAUCAUCCUCUUGUAUUUUGGAUUUUGUUUCCUAUUUCCUCAGUUUAAUCUUCUCAGCCAUAGGUCAUAAAGAUGGCGAUGGUUAUUUCCUUCCUCAUACCCAUGGUUUGUUACAAUGUGACUUUGCGGUUCUUCCCAUCAGUAAACAGAAGCCAUUUUCUUACUCCUUGCCUCUGGAUGGGCCUUGUGGCUUGCUUUGAGCAAUAGAACGCAUCAGAAGGUGACCUCAUGCCAGUUUCAUGCCUUGGCUUCAGGAGGCCUUGAAUUCUCUGCUGCUCCUUAGG